rnacentral:rRNA from 1 species
CCUACGCGUGGCUGCAGUGGGGAAUAUUGCACAAUGGGGGAAACCCUGAUGCAGCGACGCCGCGUGAGUGAAGAAGUAAUUCGUUACGUAAAGCUCUAUCAGCAGGGAAGAAAUACUUACCUUCCGGUCAGCAGACGGUACCUGAGUAAGAAUCCCCGGCUAACUACGUGCCAGCAGCCACGGUAAUACGUAGGGGGCAAGCGUUAUCCGGAUUUCCUGGGUGUAAGGGGAGCGUAGACGGUGCGCCAAGUCUGGAUUGAAAUGCCGCAGCUCAACUUCGGAACUGCUUUGGAAACUGGCGAAGUAGAGUGCGGGAGGGGUAAGCGGAAUUCCUAGUGUAGCGGUGAAAUGCGUAGAUAUUAGGAGGAACACCGGUGGCGAAGGCGGCUUACUGGACCGUAACUGACGUUGAGGCUCGAAAGCGUGGGGAGCAAACAGGAUUAGAUACCCGGGUAGUC